rnacentral:rRNA from 1 species
GGUGUAGGCGGACAGAAAAGUUGGUUUUGAAAGCCCUCGGCUUAACCGAGGAACUGGAACCAAAACUAAUUGUCUUGAGGAUAGCAGGGGAGUGUGGAACUUCUGGUGGAGCGGUGAAAUGCGUAGAUAUCAGAAGGAACACCGGUGGCGAAGGCGACGCUCUGGGCUAUUCCUGACGCUGAGGCCCGAAAGCGUGGGGAGCAAACAGGAUUAGAUACCCUGGUAGUCC